CCGAGUUUACAACUCCCAAACCCCUGUGAACAUACCCUUAUGUUGCCUUCGGCGGAUCAGCCCCAGUCUGCCCGUAAAGCUGGACCAGGCGCCCGCCGGCAGGAACCCUAAACUCUGUUUAUUUAUGUGAUACUUCUGACGUAUAAACAAGCAAAUAAAUUCA
rnacentral:misc_RNA from 1 species